UUUAAAUACAACCAUAAUUUUUCAUGCUCAACUUUGAUUGUCCGUCUUAUUUGAAUUUUUUUUAUAAUUUAUAUUUUUUUAUUGUUAUGAGAUGAUAAAAUAUAAAUAGUACUUUAUACAUGACUUAUGUUUUUAAUCUUUUUUAGAAAAACAUUAAAUAAGUCGGACGAUCAAAGUUGUGCAUGAAAAAUCAUGGUUGCACUUAAA
rfam:Oryza sativa (indica cultivar-group) chromosome 11, whole genome shotgun sequence.